rnacentral:lncRNA from 1 species
GGACUACAGUUACAGACAGUGGUGAGCCACCACGCGGUUGCUGGGAAUUGAACUCAGGGCCCCUGGAGGAACAGCCAGUACUCUAACCCCAAGCCAUCCUUCUAGCCCAAGAGUACAUUUUUAAUCUGUUCUAAUAUAGACUAAUUUCUGGGUGUGUUUCUGAAUGUAACACAGUAACUUGCACUUCAGAGAUCUGACAAUUUUUCUGAAUAACAUGGAUGUAGUUUUUUUUUUCCCCAGUAAGCUAGGUCACUUCCUGCCUUCCUGUUUAGCUCAUUUCCACACUUGGCAGGGCCGGAUUCAGGUUGAAUUCUGAUAAAGAGAGGGUGUGUCUUUUUCAGCAUCUUGCCAAAAGAUGUCAGUCUGUCCAGAGAUAGUGAUAUUCAUUCUGAGCACUGGGAUAAGUAGGUUUUUCCAAUUUGAAAGGAGUUCUCCUUUGUAAUUACCAGCUACAACAAUGAAGACUGUAACUGGUUUUAGUGCCCACCGGUGAUUUCCAAGUCUGCCUCUCUCCUUUCCUGCCUGCUUCCUUCCUGUUACCUGCUCUCUUCCUCUCUCCCUUCCCUCCACCCUUUCUCCCUCUUCUUCUACCCCUCCCCCUCUUCCUUGCCUUCUCUCAUGCACUCUGCUCUUUCUCUCUCUUUCUUGGCAUUCUGUCAUAAAGAAACAUUGUCUCCAUUUCAUUAUCAACAUUCAGAACUUUCUACUCUGGUUUUAUCAGCAUGGCUGGGCGAUAUUUUAUAUAGUGGAUUAUAAUUCGUUGCCGUGGAUAGCUAUUUUGAUAUUUGAGUUGCUCCAGAUCCCACUAGCAGCAGCUCUCAGUUAACUCUCCCGGCUCCCCUGUUGUUUGGUAUUCCUUGAACACUUGCUUCC